rnacentral:misc_RNA from 1 species
GGAAGUAAAAGUCUAACAAGGUUUCCGUAGGUGAACCUGCGGAAGGAUCAUUACAGAGUUCAUGCCCUCACGGGUAGAUCUCCCACCCUUGAAUAUUUAUACCUUAGUUGCUUUGGCAGGCCGUGGAAACACCAUGGGCUCCGGCUUAUGCGUGCCUGCCAGAGGAAACAAACUCUGUUUAUAGUGAUGUCUGAGUACUAUAUAAUAGUUAAAACUUUCAACAACGGAUCUCUUGGUUCUG